CGCGAAGUAGAGCAGCGGUAGCUCGUCGGGCUCAUAACCCGAAGGUCGUAGGUUCGAUCCCUACCUUCGCAA
rnacentral:tRNA from 1 species